rnacentral:misc_RNA from 1 species
GAAAGAUUUGGCAAUGCAAAUGUACAAUCCAGCACUACUUUGCUAGCUAAUAGUGAACAACAGCUGCCCUUUAUGGAUUCAACUUCAUCAACAGUUCAUCUUCACAAAGAGGAUUUUACAUUCCUCUGGGGGAGGAGAGGUGGAAGCCGUAUCAGAAAUAUCCCACAUAAAAGGUGGUGCCAAACUGUUCCAGUUGAACCAG